rnacentral:rRNA from 1 species
UACGUAGGGCGCAAGCGUUGUCCGGAAUUAUUGGGCGUAAAGAGCUCGUAGGCGGCUUGUCGCGUCGACUGUGAAAACCCGUGGCUCAACCAUGUGGUCUGCAGUCGAUACGGGCAGGCUAGAAUUCGGUAGGGGAGACUGGAAUUCCUGGUGUAGCGGUGAAAUGCGCAGAUAUCAGGAGGAACACCGGUGGCGAAGGCGGGCAUCUGGGCCAACACUGACGCUGAGGCGCGAAAGCUAGGGGAGCAAACAGG